rnacentral:rRNA from 1 species
CCUACGGGCGGCAGCAGUGAGGAAUAUUGGUCAAUGGACGCAAGUCUGAACCAGCCAUGCCGCGUGCAGGAAGACGGCUCUAUGAGUUGUAAACUUCUUUUAUAAAGGAAUAAAGUGAGGCACGUGUGCCUUUUUGUAUGUACUUUAUGAAUAAGGAUCGGCUAACUCCGUGCCAGCAGCCGCGGUAAUACGGAGGAUCCGAGCGUUAUCCGGAGUUAUUGGGUUUAAAGGGAGCGUAGAUGGGUUGUUAAGUCAGUUGUGAAAGUUUGCGGCUCAACCGUAAAAUUGCAAGUGAUACUGGCAGUCGUGAGUACAGUUGAGGUAGGCGGAAUUCGUGGUGUAGCGGUGAAAUGCUUAGAUAUCACGAAGAACUCCGAUUGCGAAGGCAGCUUACUAAACUGCCACUGACAUUGAUGCUCGAAAGUGUGGGUAUCAAACAGGAUUAGAUACCCGGGUAGUC